AGGACCGUAGCUCAGUGGUGGAGAACUUGCCUUGCAUACAGAAGGUUCCAGGUUCAAUCCCUGGUGUCUCUA